UAGGUCGACCCGCUGAAYUUAAGCAUAUCAGUAAGCGGAGGAAAAGAAACUAACAAGGAUUCCCCUAGUAACGGCGAGUGAAGAGGGAAAAGCCCAGCACUGAAUCCAACAGUUUACGCUGUUUGGAAAUGUAGUGUUUAGGUAUCAUUUUGCACUAUUCGACUUGUCCCAAGUCCGCUUGAUUGCGGCUCUUUGUGCCCAGAGAGGGUGUUAGGCCCGUAGGGGCAGGUUGGGUGGUGCCUGAUGUUACCUUAGAGUCGGGUUGUUUGUGAAUGCAGCCCAAAGCGGGUGGUAAACUCCAUCCAAGGCUAAAUACUUACACGAGACCGAUAGUCAACAAGUACCGCGAGGGAAAGUUGAAAAGAACUUUGAAGAGAGAGUUCAAUAGUACGUGAAACCGCUCAGAGGUAAACGGGUGGCGCUGAAGUGAUCCCGGGAAUUCAGCCGGUUAAGACGUUGGUGAUUUUUGCGGGAAAUGGCUCCUUGUCUUUCCAGCUUAUUUUGUCCGGCGUUUUGACUGGUGCACUUUCCCUGGGGUCUAUACCACGACCGGUCAAUCGAGAUGCCUUCUGCGUUCGGGUUGGUAGCGUAGUCUCCUAGAUUGCGUGAAAGCCUGUUUGCGUUGUGUGUCCGGAGGACCGAGGACUCGACAUAAGCCGUCCCGGCGCGCAUAUAUUCAGCGAGGUUGGCAUCGUUGGUUGGACUGCCUGGCAGACUAGCCGGUUUUGUCUCCUUUGCCUGGGUAUCGCUGCGCAAUGUGUCAAUAGUCUGUGGUGUUAAGUAGGUUACCCACCCGACCCGUCUUGAAACACGGACCAAGAAGUACAACAUAUGCGCGAGUCAAAGGGUCUUACGAAACCCCAAGGCGAAAUGAAAGUGAAGGCUGACUUUGUCAGCUUAGGUGUGAUCCCGUGACCGACAAGUUCCGGCGGGCGCAACACCGGCCCGUCUGCAAGUAUUUAGUUACUGGGGCGGAGCUUGAGCGCAUAUGCUGUGACCCGAAAGAUGGUGACCUAUGCUUGCGCAGGUUGAAGCCAGAGGAAACUCUGGUGGAGGACCGACAGCGAUUCUGACGUGCAAAUCGAUCGUCAGACGUGAGUAUAGGGGCGAAAGACUAAUCGAACCAUCUAGUAGCUGGUUCCCUCCGAAGUUUCCCUCAGGAUAGCUGGCACUCAUUUGAAUUCAGUUUUAUCCGGUAAAGCGAAUGAUUAGAGGUAUUGGGGACGAAAUGUCCUCAACCUAUUCUCAAACUUUUAAUGGGUAAGAGGUAGAACUUUCUUAAUUGAAGUUUUACGUUGAAUGAGAGUGCCCAGUGGGCCUCUUUUGGUAAGCAGAUUAGGCGCUGUGGGAUGAACCAAACGCUUGGUUAAGGUGCCAAACGCAACACUCAUCAGAUACCACAAAAGGUAUUGGUUGGUCUAGACAGCAGGACGGUGGCCAUGGAAGUUGGAAUCCGCUAAGGAGUGUGUAACAACUCACCUGCCAAAUCAACCAGUCCUGAAAAUGGAUGGCGCUUGAGUGUUGUGACCUAUACCAGGCCGACAGGGAAAGUAAACCUUGAGCAGGCAAGUAAUCCCUGUCGAGUAGGAGGGACACCGUGAUGAGCAUGGAAGCCACUGCUGUGAAGCGGGGUGGAGCCGUCACGGUAGCAGAUCUUGGUGGUAGUAGCAAAUAUUCAAGUGAGAACCUUGAAGACUGAAGUGGAGAAGGGUUCC
rnacentral:rRNA from 1 species